GUGUCCAAUAGUGCCUAGUGGACAUGGCAUCUGCCCGGUAAGCGGAACAGUGUGGGUUCGAUUCCCAUCCUGGACACU
rnacentral:tRNA from 1 species